rnacentral:rRNA from 1 species
AUUGAACGCUGGCGGCAUGCUUUACACAUGCAAGUCGAACGGCAGCACGGGCUUCGGCCUGGUGGCGAGUGGCGAACGGGUGAGUAAUAUAUCGGAACGUACCCAGAAGUGGGGGAUAACGUAGCGAAAGUUACGCUAAUACCGCAUACGAUCUAUGGAUGAAAGCAGGGGACCGCAAGGCCUUGUGCUCCUGGAGCGGCCGAUAUCUGAUUAGCUAGUUGGUGAGGUAAAGGCUCACCAAGGCGACGAUCAGUAGCUGGUCUGAGAGGACGACCAGCCAAACUGGAACUGGGACAAGGGCCCGACUCCCAAGGGAGGCAAGAGUGGGGAAUUUUGGACAAAGGGCGCAAGCCUGAUCCAGCAAUGCCGCGUGAGUGAAGAAGGCCUUCGGGUUGUAAAGCUCUUUUGUCAGGGAAGAAACGGUAGAGGCUAAUAUCCUUUGCUAAUGACGGUACCUGAAGAAUAAGCACCGGCUAACUACGUG